AUCCAGCCGAUGAGUCCCAAACAGGACGAAAAGCACAUCCUAGAC
rnacentral:hammerhead_ribozyme from 1 species